UUUUUAUGAUUCAUGCGUCUGAUGCAUUUUUAGUGUGGGUUUUGAGUCAAAACUUUUGACCCAACCUAAAUAGGCUUAUUAUCAUGUUUUUGUGAUAUGUUAUCUGUUUGUAUCAUAAUUAUUUGAAAAUUGAAUUUACUGCACUAUGAUUGCUUGAGGAAAGGUAGAGCUCUCAACCCACUACUAUUCCGUUUUCUAUUUUUUAUUUUCUAGGAACAAAAUCUUUUCUAAUUUUCAUUUGACUAAACCAUUGAGGAUCAGCAGAAGAAAGACGGGUCGAGAAAGAAGUUGAAAAUGAACGUGAAGCUUAAUCAUCAAGUUAACUAAGAAGAAUGAUGUUAAUAAGCUUCAGAUCAAGGUCUAUGAGAAGACAUGUCAAAUCGUUCCAUGCUCUCUUCAAGACCUUUGGUUGUGGGUCUGUGGCUCCGUAUCAUGUGUUCAUCUAAAGUUCACAAAACAUGUUCUUCCACAAUCCAAUCGACAAACCAAAGCCUCUGCCAAGACCUCUGAAAUUAAAUCAUAAUAUCAAAAUAUCUACAGGUAUUGCUUGGAUAUUUUUUUUAAAGUUUCAGUUCAUGUUUCUUAAUAAAGAUCUUCAUGAUUUGUUUUUGUAUACGUUUAUGAUUUCCGGAGCUUUGAUCAAAGUGUUGUUACUGGCUAACACAAACAUCCUCUUACCAGGUCUUUUUCUCAACUUUGCCUCCAUAGUAUAUGGAUUACGAUUGUUUUGUUUGAGAUUGGAAAUGUUAUAACUCCUUACUCUUUGAUAUAAGAUAUUGGUGGGGAAGUUAUGGGCAUCAAAACCACCCACAACGGUCAGUUCACAACUAACAACUUGCAUGUUCAUCCUCCUUACAUGGUGACAUAUAUUCAAUGAUCCCAGCGCUGAUAUGCCGGGGAGCUGCAUCUGUAAUAACAAAUCCCUCGCAUUGUGUGUACAUCAGUGUUUCUAUGACCAGCAGAAGGCUUGAUAGUCAUGGGAUGGUUGAAGAAAACAGAAGCGAGACAGCUCUACCAGGUGCUCGAGCUAUUGUUCCCGAAAUGACUGCAGAGUGCGGAGAAGCCAACAGUUCUGGAACAUGGGCUCUUUGUAAAGAAGGCAUGCAUUGAGUAAAAUCUUAAGUAAGGGAGUCUAUGACCCUCCUGUCGACUCCUACAAACUACGCUGGAGCUUUUUUAAAUUUCGCAUAUUAAUGAAAUAUGACUUGAGAAUCAUUCCCAACGCCAUGUUAUAUCUCAUCAA